GUUGUGUUCUGCCUUUAUAUAUAAAGCCUAGGGGAACAAUUUUAAGACUUUUUUAAGCUGUUCUAAGUUGGAUGUUAGUAUAAAGCAAGGUGUGUUAUAAUUAAAGUUAAAAUGGUCGAAAAAGGUGUUUGGGACAGACGUUUCGGGAAGACUCAUUGGUCUGCAAGCAAUAAAAGGGUCCUGGGGUUGAAGACUUCAAAGCAAAAGGACCCCAGGACCGAAGACCAAAGCUCUCAAAGGACAAGUACCAAAGGCAAAGGUAGGUAACUCAUUUAAUAUAUGCAUCCUUGUUUUCUGCUUGGAAGGAAAUUGAAAACAAAUGUUUAAAUGUGGUAAAAUGUAUUAUGAGCUUAUAGUAGCUAAUCUUUGACUUCCUCCUUAAGCUAACACUCCAAUCAUUUGAGCAUGGUUUAGCAUGUC